rnacentral:rRNA from 1 species
CCUACGGGGGGCUGCAGUGAGGAAUAUUGGUCAAUGGACGAGAGUCUGAACCAGCCAAGUAGCGUGAAGGAUGACUGCCCUAUGGGUUGUAAACUUCUUUUAUAUGGGAAUAAAACGUUCCACGUGUGGGAUUUUGUAUGUACCAUAUGAGUAAGGAUCGGCUAACUCCGUGCCAGCAGCCGCGGUAAUACGGAGGAUCCGAGCGUUAUCCGGAUUUAUUGGGUUUAAAGGGAGCGUAGGUGGAUUGUUAAGUCAGUUGUGAAAGUUUGCGGCUCAACCGUAAAAUUGCAGUUGAAACUGGCAGUCUUGAGUACAGUAGAGGUGGGCGGAAUUCGUGGUGUAGCGGUGAAAUGCUUAGAUAUCACGAAGAACUCCGAUUGCGAGGCAGUUCACUGGACUGCAACUGACACUGAGGCUCGAAAGUGUGGGUAUCAAACAGGAUUAGAUACCCCUGUAGUC